AUCUACGACCAUAGAACGAAGACACACAGGGUAUCCCGUCCGCUCUGCCUUACUUAAGCUUCGUAUCGAUGGGCUAGUAGUGUAGUCGGAGAUGAUACGCGAAUCCCCAUUGUUGUAGAUU
rnacentral:rRNA from 1 species